CGAACCACGGUGAAAUGACGGAUCGUCGGCCCCGCGCCGGCGACUCGCCGAAUGAGUUUCUGACCUAUCAACUCGAGACGGCGGGGUAGAGGCCCGCCGCGGUAACGACGGGGUAACGGGGAAUCAGGGGUUCGAUUCCGGAGAGGGAGCCCGAGAAACGGCUACCACUUCCAAGGAAGGCAGCAGGCGCGCAACUUACCCUAAUCUCGAUUCGAGGAGGUAGUGACAAGAAAUACCGAUGCGGGACCCUACGGGUGCCGCGUUCGGAAUGAGUACGAUUCGAACCACCUAACGAGGAACGAUCGGAGGGCAAGUCUGGUGCCAGCAGCCGCGGUAAUUCCAGCUGAAAAAGCGUAUACGAAUAUUGUUGCAGUUAAAACGCUCGUAGUUGGAAAGAAUAAGUUUUAUUUUUUCUUUUUUAAAAA
rnacentral:rRNA from 1 species